GUGCUCACUUCCGCAGCACAAAUACUAAAAAUUGGAACGAUACAGAGAUUAGUAUGGCCCCUGCGCAAGGAUGACACGCAAAUUCGUGAAGUGGUCCAUAUUUAA